GACGGCGGCGGCGCAGGCCAGAGUCCCGAGCGGGUUUGGGCGGUGUUGGCGGCCUGGAGGAACAGGUCCCUGCCAGGGCCCGGCCGCUCCCGCACCUGCUCGCCUGCUGGGCGCGCCCGGAGGACAAGCCGAGGCUACCAACCGGCAGGGCGGAGCUGCGUGGCCCGGAGGGCCUGCGGGAGUGGAGCGGCGGGUGGAGGAGAGUCCUGGCCGGCGUGGCUUCCAAGGGCACCUGGGGGACGCGAGGCGCGCGGGCCGGCGCGGGCUCUGCUCCCUCUGUUCCCUCUGCUCCUUCCCGGUCCCGUGGCGGGGCUGCGGGGCGGCCUAGAGCCGCGCUGGAGCCCGGAGGCCUCUCCUGUGUUUCCUACUCCCGACCCCUCUACCUGACCGGAAAGGCCGAGGCAGUGUUGCAGAAUCACCAACAAAUAAAAUUAGCUUUAAAAAUCCCACUGGUAUCUGGACGUCUUUGGGUGUUAGGAAGGAAUAGUCGGGUGUUCUGCUUAGGCGUGUUUUUUGUCUUGAACCGUUUUGUGAUUGUGACCUAAAUUGGGCGUCAGGUUCUCUGGACUUUUGGGUCUCAGAAGUCGUCGUCUUUUUUAUGCACACAUAUUAAGCAUGUUUUCUAGAGUGACAGACAUGUGAGUUUCAUUUUCUUUGCCUACUGUUCUUUUUGACUGAACAGGAAUCCUAUUAGGGUUCAGAGAAAAGCAUUUUAGAGAUAACAGUGUAUAGACUUUAAGUGCAUUAAUUUUUCUUUUGAGCUGAAGGUUUCCUCAUCGUUUUCCAUGAGGUUCACUGCUACAUCUUGUACAAAAUGAAAGUGCAUGGAGUAAAAUUAUGAGAAGGAACUGAUGUUUAGAAUAUUAGAAGAUAUCAAACAACUGUAAACCGUGGAAAACAUGUAUCUGUACUUUUGCUACUGUUUUGCUUUUGGUUAAAACAAUAGAAGUUACUUUUGAAACAAAUUUCCUUGGUCUAGUAUUCUCAAUUCUAUCUACAUACUUAGGAUUUGAACACUUACCAUUUUAACGUUUGGAGACUCUGAAUCAUCAAAUAUAAUAAAUCACGACCAGCAUUUUUAUUAAGCAUAGUUUGUUGUCUGUGUCACAUAAUAGGUGCUCUGUAAAUAUUUAGAGUGAAUAUUACUAACUAGACAAUAUUUUAAAACAUUGGAACUUUUAAUAUCAAAAGCAAUGUUUCAUAAAUAGAAUUAUAGAAAGGAUAUUAUACAAUAAAUUUUCUUUGGUAGUAAUUUGCAUGUGUUGUAUAGCUGCAUAUAAACUUUCUAUGUAUUUUAAAGAAAUUUUCAGUGCUUCUUAAGUGUGAAAAGAAUCAGGGCUAUAUUGUAUCAGCAUAAAUAGUUUAAAAUCAAGAAGGAUUCUUCUUACACAAAAUAGCGUUUCAGUCAGUAAACCUUGUUGGCAGAAAUAGAAAGAGACCUGAGAGAAAAGUAAAAAGUCAUCCAUCUGAAAAGCCAUUAACCUGUGCUGAUAGAAACACAUGCUAGCAGUGAUAGCUAUAUGCCACCAUUGUAUGUUGUUUGACAUUUCUCAAGGGAUCAGUUUUGACUUAGUAACGUUUAUCUUUUUCAAACUCAUUGUUAAAUUCAGUCUUUCAUUCAGGGGUAGAAGUAAGGAAUGGAAACGGUUUCUUUUCCUUUAAAUAUUAGAGUUUUGGAGAAGAAAAAAAUUCUUCUACUGGAUUUGAAUAUAGUACCACAGUGGUGAUCAACCUAUGGGCAUGCAUGUUGUUUGUCUUUUAAGGCAACGGAUCUUCUUUGUUUUUUUUGUUUUUUGUUUUUUUUUUUGGUCUUUUUCAUUUUUAUCGGUACCGGGAUCGAACUCACGACCACCUGCUUGCAAGGCAGGUGCUUAUGCCGCUGAGCUAAACCUCCAGCCCCCAAGGCAAAGGAUCUUAAUGUAGGUAUUCUUUUCUAAACGAAAACCUCAGUGUUCAGGUUUAAUUGCUGUUGGCAUUUUGUGAUAAGUAAGUGGCUUUUGGGUUGUAGUUUGGGCAUUUGUCUCUAAAAGAUUUGCCAUCACUGGCUCACCACCACUUUGUCAUUCAUGCCAUUUUUACUGUUUGAUGUUGUGUAACAAAUACACACAUCUAUUUUAAAAUUUUAAUUUUUAUUAGUACAUGUUUACAGUACAUAAUGAUUAGUUUCACUGUGGGUAUCUAGUACAUGUGCAUAACACAUGGUAAUUUUUUUUUUUUUCCUGAGACACUAUCUCACUCUAGUUCAUGCUGGCCUUGAACCUUUUAUGCAUGUAGCACAGGUCCUGUAGUUUAAUCUGGUCUUUAGUUAUGUAGCCCAAACUGGCCUCAAAUGAAUUUACAGCGAUCCUGCCUAAGGCUCCUGAGUCCUGGAAUUAUGUGCACCACAUCCGCCCUUGCUGGUCCCAUCUUGUUGAACUUCUUAGGAAAGUGAUUCCCAGACUCCAGUGUGUAAGUCACUUUGAAAAUACAUUUCCUAGAUCCAACUCCUAGAGAGUUUUGGUGAGUUUGCAGUAAGCAUGCUAGAUGGUUCAUAGACUCUAAACUGAAAAGUGUAUGAGUGAAUCAUUGAAUUUUAUAAUGCACAAUACUAGAAAAAUCAAGAAUAAUUCAGGGACCUGUGUCAAAGGGUGGACAGUAUAGUACCAUGUUGAUUUUGAUGAUAUUCUUGCUUCAAAAUAUAGAUUCCUAGGCAACCUUUGCUAACUCCUAAAUGUUUUGAACCUUGAUUUUUAAAAAAUUGCCCAAUAAUACUUAUUUGGGUACCAAGGCAUUGCAGGCAUUUAAGAGUGAGAAUCAUGUUUACAGGUAUUAUUCACAGUUUUUAUUAUUUAGCUAAAUAUAUUGCUUUUUUCUUUCUUUAGCUGAGAUCAUCUGUGUGGAAAGAACAGAGAAUGGGGAGAGAGAAGGUUGAUACUUUUAGGCCGUGGUAUACUUUGCAGGUGGAGAAGGAGAUAAGACUUUAAACAACUUUUGUGACUCAACUUGGAAAAUUAUUCACUAUUUAAGUUGAGAACUGGAAGGGGGAGCCCUCCAGCAGGUUGGGGACAAACCAUGAACAACUCCGAGACCUGUAUGUUAUCAUCAGUAUUAGAAGCAGAAGGAAGCAGUGGAACAUCUGAUGAACCUGAAAAAUGGAAAAAAUAGCCAAAGGCUAUUAGAAAUCUUGGAGGGCCACUUUAAGAAUACUAGCUGAAAUUGGGAAGAGUGUUACACAUACCUGUAAUGGGUAGUGUUGAAAGAUGUUUAUUGUAAAGCCUGAAAGGACUGGAGUCCCUUCCCAAAUUUUAAAAACUAAUCAACGGAAGCUUCCUUUUAGGGCCUGUCAUCAUAGUGAGGAGGAACUGAGAACUCAGUUAAGUAUCCCUGAAGGGUAUAGACAAAGAAGCGAAUGUUCACAUAAAAGUCUGGGGCUAUGAACAGAGAUAAAAGACAGAGAAACUAUAUUUUUGAACACAAUGGAAACUACAAAAGAAUUUCAGGGGUUUUGUUUGGGGGGGGGCAGAGGAUCAAACCUGGGACCUUGUACUCAUGAGGCAAACACCUCAACACUGAGCUACAUCCCCAACUCCAAGAGGGAAUGUUAGAGUGUGAAGUUAAAGAAUUUAUUCAGAGCCAAUCUCUUUCAAAAAUCAAUAAUAUAAAAUGGUAUCUUCAAGUUUCCUGCAAAGUUUUUAAAGAAAAACAAGACUCCUAUAGAUAAUGAAAGCACUCCAGAAAGACAUGAAAACCAGGAGAUACUAAGACAAAAGAUAUAAUGAUAAGGCAUUUCUAGAAACAGCUUUGCAUAAGAAAAAUUUCAAAACGUAGAGCACAAUAAAGUGUCAGAAACAAAGUUUAUUUUAGAAAUGAAUACAGAUGAGAAGGAAUACAAGUAAACAACCUUAACAGGCAAUAAGAGGGAAAGAACUUUAAAAGGAGAAAGACAUUAAAAACAAAAACAUAAGAGAGGAGGAAAGAAAAUGGUGGAGUGCAGACCAGCAGCAAAACAUAGGCUCUACAAAGACCUAGGAUCAAGACGACUGGAAAACAACAACUUGGUGAAAAGAAAAAAGAAGUAGAUUUCCAGGAAACUGGAGGGUGCUGGCAGGAAAAUGGAAACUACAGAGAAGCUGGAGAAACAAUAGUACAAUGCAGAAAAAGGAAGAAAGCAGUUGGGAAAGGAGCCCUGUCUUCAGGGAACUGGACCUGUCUCCUAUGACACAAGGUAAGCCCAGAGAGGGGCAGCAGCUGCAGGGAGAAACAUCAAACCAGGCUGGAAGUGCUGGCCUCUGGAAAAGCCCAUGGCUGUUGUAAACUGCAAAAGCAGCAGAGGGUUUUACACUGAAAGUGACUCCUGCAGGGAAUGCUAGAGUUGGAUAAGCAAUCUAGUGCCAUGCCCACCAUACAUGUUGGAGAGUGGUUCAUCAGGAGCCAUUUUGGGAAGGGAUUGUUUUAUACUGAGCUAUCAAGUACAGAGCAACUUCAGUUCUGGUGUCACUCUAUUGCAGUGACUGUGUGUGAAACGGCAAUUGUGUACAGUUGCAGAGCGGAUGCAGGCUAGACAUAGGCACCUGAGAAGUUAACCUCAGGCUGGGAAGUUCUUAGGGAUCACACCUCCAAGUUAAGAACACACGCUGGACCCUGUGUGGCCUUCAGAAGGGGCUGAGAUUGAAAGAGGUGGCACACCUUGACUUGGAUAAUUGCCACACACAGCCUGGGGUGUAUGUACAGACGGGUCUCUGAAGCAGGGAGGGCGUGACACAGACCCACAGGCCACGGAGUUAGGUAGAGAAAGCCAUGAGUUGGGAUGCCCAUAGUAGCACAGAGAUUAGGAGCAGCUGGAUUGACUGAAAUUCUAGGGCAGACGCUACUGCGCAGCCAUGAUCAGCAGGAAAAGUGGGGCAGGAUUCAGCAUUUGCACACAAAAAUGUGAGUGUGGAAACAAACUAGUUCUUGGUGGUGACUCACAGUCCCGUUCCCAUAUCUGUGGAUUGUAAUACUGCAUAUCCUGGAAAGAGAACACUCAUUUAAAAACAUGGAAGUAUUUUGAACUCAGUUCUUUUUUUUACAAUUGGAUUUUGGGAUUUUGUUCCUCUCUUUUCUUAGUUUGCUUUUAUUAUUUAUUUUGUCUUUGGUAUACUUAUCUAAUUCUAUUAAUUUUCCCUUAUUCCUUAGUAGUACCCUGUCUCAUUUUUCUCUUGCCUUCUUUCUCUUUAUUUUUCUAGUUUUUACUUCUUUCAUUUCCCUUUUCCACAUCUUCCAUCUUUAUUAGUAUUACUGUUUUUUACUAGUAUUACUAUUAAGCUUUAUUAGUAUUUAAAGAUUUAGACUGUGGUAUAUUGAAUUCUUUUUUUUUUUUUUUUUUUUUUUUGAGACAAGGUCUUGCUAUGUAGUUCAGACUGACCUAGAUUCACUAUGUAGCCCAAACUUGCGGUGACCCUCCUACCUCAGCCCCCUGAGUACUGAGAUUACAGGUGUGCACCACCAUGCCCAGCUAUUACUCAGUUAUUUUACACUGUUAAUAGUGAUAUACCUGUAGGCAUUUAGUAGAUAUUAUCUGUAUGUCCAUACUUUGUUUGUUUUGUCUAACUACAGAUCUCUUCUAUUGCUGUGUGUUUUAGAGUAGUAGCUUUUAUUAAUUCUUAUGGUAUGUCAAUAUUUAAUUUGCUUUUGACUCUAUUGUUGCUGAUUUUGUUGCUAUUACCAGCGUGGCAUAGUUAUUGCCAUUAAUACGUUUUUACUGUAUGCCAAUACUUGGAUUGUCUUUGUGUCAUCAACAGUACUGUAGUUCAUUUCCAGAGAACUGAAUGCUGGGUUAUUCGUACUGCGUCCUUUCAUCCUCAGAUUAAUGGAAUCUGACUGGAUCUUGGGACAGAGGCAGAGGCCUAUAAUUGGCUAUGAUCAGAGUACAUCACUGACAAUCAGAUACUAAAGAGAUCUCCAUACCAGCAACAGUUUUUCUACUACAAUUGAUCUAUAAGCCUUAGUGCAUAUAUACAAAUGAAACCUAAUAGAAAUAUGAGAAGACAAGACAAGAAAUUGCCUCUAAAGAUUCUCAACUUCCCUAAGUUAACUAUGGAGGAUCAAUGAGGAAAACAUAAAAAACCAAACAACUGAAUUAUCCAGAACAAUCAAGAAGAGACCAAAAAAGAAACAAACAACAAAACAGAACAGUAAGGUAGUCAGUGAGGUCAACAAAGCAGAGUAAGCAGUUAAAUAGAAAGGAAGAUGAAUUAUCAGCAGUACAUGGAACUUCCACCAAAAUAGACCAUGUACCAGCCCAUAAAAAUGUUUAAACAAAAAUAUCAAAAUUAUCCCUUGCACACUGUCAGAUCAUAGUGGAGUGAAACUAGAAAUCAGUGGUAAAAGAAAUCAGAGAAAUUAUGCAAACAUAUGGAAAUUAAAUAAUAUCCUCUUGAAUAAUGAAUGAGCCACAGAAGAAAUCAACAGGUAAAAAAAAAGUCCCAGACUCACACAGUAAUGUCAGUGCAACAUACUAGAACAUACGGGACACAUUGAAAGCAGCCUUGGAGGGAAGUUUGUAGCUGGGAAUGAUGUCAUCAGAAAAAGUGAAUCCAAAUAAAUAACCCAAUGAUGCAUCUCAAGGUCUUAGACAAAUGAGAGCGUCUAAACCUAAAGCUAACACAAGGAAGGAAAUACCUAUAAAGAUAAGAACAGAAACUAAUGAAAUUGAGGCUAAGACAUAAAAGCACAAGGAAUCAAUGAUUUGAAAAGUUGGUUCUAGAAGCCAGGUGUGGUGGUGCAUGCCUAUAAUGCCAGUACUCAGGAGGCAAGAGGAUCGCUGUGAGUUUGAGGCCAGUCUGACCUACAAAGUGAGUUCAAGGGCAGCCUGAACCAUGCAGUGAAACCUGGCCUUAAAAAAAAUUCUUUAAAAUAAGAAAUAAAAUAGACAAACUACCAGUUGAUCUUACCAAAAUGUGAGGAUAAAAGGUCCAAAUCAGUGCAAUUAGAAAUGAAAAAGACAGUAUCACAAUAGGCUCUGCCAAAAUCCAGAUUAUUAGUAACUACUUUGAGAAUUUAUAUGCUAAUAAUUGGAAGAUUUAGAAGAAAUAGAUUCCUAGAUAUAUAUGAACCUCCAAAACUGAACCAAGAAGAUACAAAAACCCGAAUAAUCUUGUAUCAGGCAAUUAGGUCAAAUAAGUGAUAAAAAACUACCACUAGUAACAAAAUCCCAAGUCCUGAUGGAUUUUGUUGGCAAAUUCUACAAGAGCUUUAGGGAAUAUCUAGCACCAGUACUACAUAAACCUCUUCAGUGAAAUCUAAAGGAAAGCAAUACUCCAAAAGUCAUCCUAAAAGAUAGUGUUAGCCUGAUUUCUAUGCCAUACAAAACAAAACAAAACAAACUUCAGGCUAAUCUUUCGAUAACAUAGAUACAAAACUCUUCAAGGUACUGGCAAACAGGAUGCAACGUGUUGUCAAAAAGACCAUACAUCAUGAUCAGAUAAGAUUCAUCCAAUGGAUGCAGGCAUGGUUCAACAUACAAAACAAACAUCAAUAAAUGUAAUAUGUAAAUUAGGAACCGAGGACAAAAACUACAUCAUCUUAUUUGACAAAGAAAAAACCUUUUACAAAAUCCAACAGCCAUUCAUGAUAAAAGUCCUGAAUAGGUGUAGAAGGACCAUUUCUCAAUCUGAUAAGGGCCAUUUAUGACAAACCAAUGACUAGCAUUGUAUUAACUAGAGAGAAACUGAACGCCUUCCCUCUAAAAUCAAGAGCAAGACAAGGAUGUUAACUAUCACCACUACUAUUCAAUUACUGUGCAAUAUAGUUGCUAAAACAUUAACCAGAGCAAUCAUACAAGAGAAAGAAUUGAGAAGGAUAUGUAUGGGAAAUCAUGUCAUUAUUUGCAGAUGACGUGGUCCUCUACAGAGAUUACUAAUCCAAUUCAGUACUGUAACAGGGUAAAAAGUCAGCACACUAAAAUCAGCACCAUUCCUGUACGUUAAUAAUAAACUUAAGAAAGAAAUUAGGAAGGAAGAAAUUAGGAAACAGUACGAUUCAUAAUAGCAUUAAGAAAAAUUAAACACUUAGAAAUUAACCUAACCAGAGAAGUGAAAGACCUCUACAAUAAAAACUACAGUACUCUGAAAAUAAGAGAUCAAAGAGGAUAUUUAGAAGAAUGGGAAGGUAUCUCUUAUUCUUGGAUAGGCAGAACUAAUGUUUAAAAAAAUGGCCAUAUUUCUAAAACUAACAUACAGAUUCAAUGUAAUCCCUGUCAAAGUACCAAUGACAUUACACUUAAUCUAUUGGGAGAUAAAAUAGGUGAAAUGCUUGAAGACAUACAAGUGUAGGCAAGGACUUUCUGAAUGGAACCCUUGUGACACCAGAAAUAGUACCAAGAGCCAACAAAUGAAAUCAUAUUGAAUUAAGAAGCUUCUGCAUAACAAAAGGAAACCACCAAAAAGAGUAGAGACAACCCACAGAAUGAGGAAAAAUUUGCCAGCUAUUCUUUGCAUAGAGGACUAAUAUCUAGAAUAUAUAAAAUUUUUUAAAAAAUUAGACCUCCUCCAAAUUUAAAGACCUGCAUAGAAUAAAAAUGGGCAGUUGAACAGAUACUUUUCUGAAAAAGAGAAAUACAAAUAGCCAAUAAAUACAUGCAAAAAUGUUCUGUAUCUCUGGCCAUUAGAGAAAUACAAAUUAAAGCAAUGCAAAGAUGAUUCUAUUUUCCCAGAAAGAAUGAUAGUCAUCAAGAAAUCAGGUAACUGCAAAUGCUGGUGAGGCUGCAGGGGAAAGAUGAAGAUGAUAGGAAUGUAAACUUUUACAAACAUUAUGGAAAUCACUAUGGCGAUUCCUCAGGACAUUCCAUUCAACUCAUUCCUUUCCUAGGGAUCUUCCUAAAAGAGUCAAAGGCAUCAUAUUACAGUGAUAAAUGCAUACUGAUGUUUAUAGAGCACAGUUUGCCAUAGCUAAAUCUUAGAAGUGGCGUGUGUAUCCAUCUUUAACUGGAGAACAAGUUUUAGAGAAUCAAAAAACUAGACCUGCAUUAAAUUAUUAAUUAAUAGAUCUUGAGGACUGGGGAUGUAACUCAGUGGUAGAAUGCUUGAUGCAUGAGCACAGUGCUCUCAAGCACUGUAAAAAUAGGAGGUGGAGGAAAGUUUACAUAUGCAUAAAUUAAAUCAGAAAAAAUGAGGGUUUAAGUGGAGAAAGUAUGGUCUGUAAAGAGAGGAAAAUGGAGGGAUCAUAUUCAAAACAUCGUAAUUAUUUUCAUCAAUCAUGGUGGCAUUACGAUUGUAUCAAGACUCUGGGGCCAGGGAUAUAGCUCAGCAGCACAAGCACCUGCCUGGCAAGUGCACAGUGCUAAGUCCAGUUCCUGGUACAAAAACAAAACAAAACAAAACAAAACAGUCUGUGUUAUCAGAUGUAGUGGCACAUGUCUAUAAUCCAAGCACUCAGGAGGCUGAGGCAGGAGGAUUGCUGUGUGCUCCAGCCAACCUGGACUACAAAGUGAGUUCAAGGCUGGCCUGAACUGCAUAGCAAAACCCAGUCUCAAAAAGACCAAAAAACAAACAAACAAAAGCAUUAAGAAUCUGUAUUUUAUAUGAAAUAAAAAUCAAAUACAGUAAACUAUUAUUCUAGCUUUAGAAUUGAGAACUGUAGUUCUUGGUAUUGAAGAAAGGAAUGACUGGGGAUAUUUAUGUGUGUAUGGAGGUGGGCAUAGAGAUAGAGAUAAAGAAGAUCAACAUUCAACUUAAGGAGUUUUGGUUUGUUUUAAAGAACAGAUAAACCUUUUUUUUUUUCUUGGAAGAGUGAAACAGUAACAAUAAAUUAACAGUAUAAAAGCAAUUAAAAAGAAAAAUCAAAAGUGAAAGGUUCCUAAGUUUGAUUCCUGGUACAGAAAAGAAAGAAAGAAAAGAAAAGAAAGAGUGAACGAAAAGAAAAGAAAGAUAGAUCAAUAAAAGACAAUUGAGCAAUAAAAUCAGCUAGUAAAACAAAUUUAGCUCACUAGUGUAAGUCCCUGCCUGACAAUCACAAGGUUGGGAGUACGAUCCUGGUACCACACACACACACACAAAAUCAGCUACUAGUCAAUUGGAAAACCUGGUCAGAAAAAAGAGCAUGUGGACAAAAUAAGAAAUGAGAAAAACUAACAAAUUCUGAGAAUAUUAUUAGCAGUUCUGUCCACCCAUUUCAAAACAGAGCAUUAGAUGAUUUUUCUGUGGACAGGUUUUGUCAUGUUAGGCAUACGAGAAACAGGGAAUUUUCUUGUUUAAAUUAUUGUAGAGGACAGCAAUUUAAUGAUGGAAGACCCCCAGUGAGACUUAGUAAACCUGGAAACAGGAAUACCAGAAGUUCUGUUUCUACCCUCUAGAUCCAAUUAGCAUUGUGAAUGGGCCCUGUGUACUCUGGCUCCAGUUGGAUUUGGAAGUGAGGAGCCCCUGCAGGGACUUGGAGAAAAGGAACACUUAGUCUGUUGCCUUCUAUUUCCUGUGUAGAGGCUGUGACACUAUUCUGAAAGUCCGGAUCCUUCCUUAGAGGCCCAUGGGCUUAGAGCUGCUACUGCUUUUUAACUCAUCUAGGUUACUGUACUAUCCCUUGUUAUUCUCCUAAAUUUCACCCACAGUUUUCUUAAUAAACCUUUGGUCAGUAAACCUUUUUAAAAUUAGUUUAAUUUGUGAGGACCAUAUUGAUUCCUGUUCUGAUUGGGCUGAUGAGAGUUAAGAUUUUUGCAUUUAUAGAAAAUAUUAGAUAUCCUAAUUUUGAUGAUGAAAAAAAAUAAGUGCAGGAAAAUUAUGUUUUAUAGAAAAA